UACGUAGGGGGCGAGCGUUGUCCGGAAUCAUUGGGCGUAAAGAGCGUGUAGGCGGCUUGGCAAGUCUGACGUGAAAGCCCGCGGCUCAACCGCGGAUUGUCGUUGGAAACUGCCUCACUAGAGUCCGGAAGAGGAGAGCGGAAUUCCUGGUGUAGCGGUGGAAUGCGCAGAUAUCAGGAAGAACACCCGUGGCGAAGGCGGCUCUCUGGGACGGUACUGACGCUGAGACGCGAAAGCGUGGGGAGCGAACAGG
rnacentral:rRNA from 1 species